GAAGUGCGAUAAGCAGUGCGAAUUGCAGAACCGUGAGUCAUCAGAUUUUUGAACGCAAAUGGCACCAGUUGGCUCUCUAACUGGUAUGCUUGUUUCAGUGUCUUGUUUUCUCCUCACCCAAAUCUUAAUGCUAGAGAUACCCUUCUCUUGCUAAGUAUGAAGCACUCUGUUUCCUGCAGCGCCUCUUCUGGCGCACUCAAUGCAGCAGUCACACCAGUUGUGAACUCAUUGAGAGCAGGGGCAGGCCUCGGCUCGUGCUUUGACUAUUAAACUUUACUUGUAUCUGAAAUCAAGCAGGAUAACCCGCUGAACUUAA
rnacentral:misc_RNA from 1 species